GCGGCCAUAGUGUAGUCUGGCCAAUCAUUCGAGCUUCUCGAGCUCGAGACUCGGGUUCAAAUCCCGAUGGCCGCA
rnacentral:tRNA from 1 species